ACCUCACAAGCAGGCAGAGAGCACACCUGAGACACAAGGACAAGUAAGUCAAGCAAAUGGGACUGAGAUUAAAGCCAGUGAAUAAAACUAAAGGUCACUUUAAAGGAGUAUAAAGCUACAGUGGACAUAACGUGGCAUAGGUGAUCUUGACACCACAGAACUGUGAAGCCUGCAAUCCUACAAUAUAGAGGGGUAUGAGGAAGACAUCUCAGGAUACUGAAGAGUGUUGCAGAGGACCCACAAAUAGUCCUGAGCAUGAGAUGGUGGACAACAAACCCAUUUUUGGUGUGGGUAAAAUCAUUAGCGACAUCUUUUUCUUUUUUUUUUUUUCAGCAGUUUGAAGAUGUGUCAUUCCAUUUAUUUUUUCAUAAUUUCUGUUAAAAAGACUGCAGCUGCCCUUACUGUUGUACCUUUGAAGGUGUUGCAGCAAGAGCGCUGGCCUGCCAUGAUCUGCUACAUUCUACCUGGAAAUACAAGUCAGAAGUCAGCCUGUCAUAUUUUUUCAAAAGGUGACUUGUCAAAAUGAGACUUCUUUCAUAAAAUCAGUCUGGUUGGGCAUGGUGGCUCACGCCUGUAAUCCUAGCACUUUGGGAGGCUGAAGUAGGUGGAUGGCUUGAGCCCAGGAGUUUGAGACCAGCCUGGGCAACAUGGCAAAAUCCCAUCUCUACAAAAAAUACAAAAAUUAGCCGGGCAUAGUGUCACACACCUGUGGUCCCAGCUACUCAGGAGACUGAGAUGGGAGGAUCACCUGAGCCCGGGAGGUUAAGGCUGCAGUGAGCCAGGAUUGGGCCACUGCACUACAGCAUGGGUGACAGAGUGAAAUGCUGUCUCAAAAAACAACAACAAAAAAUCUCUCAAUCUGUCCAAAUAGUUAGAUUGUCUUCAGUAAUCUUUCCAUCGCGAUCUUGCUUUGUUUCUACUACUACUCUGAUGCUACAUAAUUAAGGUCACCAAUCGUUGUCACUGUCUUUCCAAACCUGUUGUUCCUUACUUCCUCCGGCCAUUCUUCCUUGUCCCCCUCCCAUUCAUCAUCCAGACACACACACACACACACACACACACACACACACACACACACACAUACAUUUUAACAAUACCAAACUCCUUGUAGUUCCCCUAAAUGAAUCAUGUUGUUUCCCUUACCUGAAAUGCCCAAUCCCUUUUUUAUUUUCAUUGCUAACUCCUCUCAUCUUUCCAGAGUGUUCACGUCUACCAGGAGUGUUCUUGUCCCUCCCAUUCCUUUCUACUCUAGCUCCACUCACAGUUCUGUGUAAUCCCAUCUUGUGGACUAACCCGUGUUAAAAAGAUUUGUUUGCUGAUUUGAUUCUUCCCUCCACUACACCCCCCCAUAACACAAAAUGAGUCCCUUAAAAGCAGAAAUGUUGCCUCACUGGUCUCCAGCACCCAGUGGAGUAUUUGGUAUGAAUGUCGGUCGAACUGUACUCUCUCCAGUGUGCAUUUUGUUCCAGGAAGACUAGGUAAUAGCAGGAGCAUUAGAAGCCUCAUCUUCAGGGCUGUUUGACAUUGAUUUUUUAAAAAAUACAUUUCCUGAGGUCUCACUAGUGCCAGAAUAUGAAAAAAAUAAUCAUUCUUCUCUGACUAAAGUGGAAUCACCAGUGAUUUAUUCUCUCCUUAAUCAGUAAUACUAGCUAACAUUUAUAUAGCCCUCACUAGGUCCCAAGCACUUUGAACAUAUCAUCUUAUUUCAUGUCUAUAACCACCUUCAGGUAGGCACUGUUGUUACCCUCCAAUUUACAAAGGAGGAAACUGAAGUGCAGGGAGGUUAAGUAAGUGGCAAGCUAGAAUCUGGAUACAGGUUGUCUGGUUCCAGGGACCAGGCAGUUAGCCAUUAUGCUAUGCGGCAUGAUUUCUUGCUUUCCUUGCCCUUUUUUCUUAAAUGUUUAAUUACAUAAGUAGCAUAUCAAUACAUUUAAAUUGUCAAAAAUUCAGAAACAAAGCAAAAACUCACUACUAUUUGAUGGGUAUCUUUCAAGAUCUUUUUCUUUGUUUACAUACAUAUAUACAUUAUGUGUGUGUACAUAUACACAAAGAAAUAUGUAUUUUUAUGUAACUGGAUUAUGCCUUAUUUUUCUAUAGAUUUGUUUUCAUUUAACAAUUUGUCUUAAAGGUCUUUUCAUAUCGAUGCAUAUUGAUCUAUUUUAUUCUUUGAAUGUUGCAUAGUAUGGAUAUAUUCCAUAGAAUGGGUGUAAUAUAGUUUAGGUAACCAUUUUUCUUUUGCGAGUCAUUUAUGUUGUUUCUGAUUUCACUGUUACAAACCAGGCUGCACUGAGUAUCCUUGAACAUGUCUCUUCACAUUCAUGCAACUAUACGUCUAGGAAAGAUCCUCAGAAAUAAAAUUGUUGGGAUGAA
ensembl:lncRNA novel transcript